rnacentral:lncRNA from 1 species
AGGUUGGCUGGGUCGGGCUGCCCGGGCGACGCCGGAGUUGCAGUUGGAGGCUGCGGGAAUACAAAGGGGUGUCUACCUUUCAAGAGGAACAAGAAAAGAGAGGUGGGAAUAUGGAACCAAGCCAAAGAUUCUGCAGGAUCCUGCACAGUGAGCAUUGUUCUGGUUCAGGCCACUGUGCUCAACUGAACAGUAUCAGUAGCACAACAUUUGGAUGCCCUUGAAUACUGUUCCUGUUUCAAUUCAUUUGUUUGUCUGAGAAUUGGGAAUGCAUGUCUGGGCAGUGACAAGAGGCCAAAGAAAGCAGAAGAUGUGUGAAGAGGAGAAUCGAUUUUCCAUAAUGAGAUGUCAGAAACACUGCUUGCUAAGUCAGCCUGAAACCAAAGAAGAAGAAUGGCAUUCAGUGAUAAGAACUGUUCAUGAGCCUGAAUUCCAUGGCUGCUCCUGCACAAACCACCGGACACAGAUCCGGGGAAAGGCAACAAAGUUGCCUCUACUUUGUGAGUGGCUAGAAGUUACUGGACAUCUGGGAGCCCUGGUGCCUUGACUGUAAAAUGGAGACAACAACUCCUCUCAUGGUUGUUAUGACAAGGAAAUGAGAGAUACAUAUCAAGUGCCUAACAUAGAGCUGGCUCCUAUGAACCAGAACUUAUUAAGCAAUUGUAGAAGGCAAGAUUUAAAGCACAGACUUUGGAGCAGUCCUUGGGUUCCAAUCCUGGCUGCAUCGUUUAUCAUCUCUGAGCCUCAGUUUCCACAUCUGUAACAAAAGCUUUCAUUUUACAGAUGUAAAAGCAGUGUGUACCUCCAAGGGGUGGUUGUGAGGAUUAAUCAAGUUAAUACACAUGGCAUUCUCAGAUCAGUGCCUUGCACGGCAAUUUACUCAAUAAAUGUUAGCGAUUUUUUUUCAA